GAUAAAUCGAGCUCCACUUCGCCGUGUGGGAGAUCCGAAGGAGGUGUCAUCUUUGGUGGCAUUCCUCUGUCUACCAGCAUCAUCUUACAUUACUGGACAGACUAUUUGUGUCGAUGGUGGCGUGACUGUUAAUGGUUUUGAGCCAAACCUGUUAUAGGAACAUCAUUAAGACUCAAAAAUCUUAGCUUCCUCUACCGCUUUCCUGUUUGGAUCCUGUCUUUUUCCUGAAUAAUCUGUUUGUGAUGGUAAGUACUCUUCUGUUUUUUCGGUGUGGGGUUCAUCUGAAAACAUUGUUGCAUGAUGCUUAUAAUAAUCGUUGGAAAGUUUGUAAGAAGUUACUUAUCAUUGGAUGAGAUUCUUGUGAUGAGUGUUUCCUAUAAUCAGAUUUAUCUUGUUAUAAGGUUGUUGUUGUAGUAGUAACUGCAAUUCAAAGGAAAUUAAUUUAGUAUAAUACUGUAGGUUGUUGUCUAGUGUCUACUACCUCAGCUUCUCAUCCCACCCAACUCUCCCUCUUUAACUACCUAAUAUGAAAUUAAAAUAUGAAUUUAACAACCUGUCCGUCUUGUCCACCGUUUCUUUGGCUCUUCAGUCUUCAGACUUCGGCCUUUUAAAGCAGGACCUAAAAGGUUUGGGCCCAAAUGUUGGAAAAACUUAACACAGGCUGCAAUUUUGGGCCCCAAAACUCUUUCCAACUGGGCCUGAACACUUUUAGGCCCAAGAUGCUUUAGAUUUUGGACUCGCAGACCAUGUAUAUGCCCUCAACACCACCAUGCUUUACUUCAUCCCUUCCUUUCAAAUUAAAAGGAAAUUCAAAUUUCAUGAUGUUACAACUUGCUCAUUGAUGUACAUUCCCAUUCACAAAAAAUAAAAUAUUAAAUGCACUUAUCCAAAAUAUCUUCAUACCUACCUAUUUUUAUUUUUAAAAUAAAAUUUAAACGUUGAAUAACAAAAAUACCAUUUUUGUCAUCCUUACCCUUCACCCUUCCGAAACCCUAAUCUAAUCUUCCCUUUCUCUCUUCUUUCAUUUUCCAUCUUCUUAAAUGGGAAAAUAACGAUCAUCAGAGCCCACCGUGACUUGUGACAGGUUCGAUCCCUUAACAAUGACGAGGCCAUUAUGGAUAAUAUAAGGAUAAGCAUUACAAUAUUUCACUCCUUCACGUGCAUCUCCCUUCACACAAAGAUGCUUCCUUCACUCAUUUUAUAUUAAUAAUAUGAUAAAUUAUACAAAAAAAAAACAAUUUUUUUUUUAUCAAAAUUGUUUUCAACAAUAUUUCAAAUAUAUAUAUAUAUAUAUAUAUAUAUAUAAAUUUGGAAAACUUGUAUUUUGGAGCUGCUAUUUAGAAAUUAUAUAGUUUUCGGAACCCAAAAAUGAGAAAUAUGAUAAUCAAAUUUUAAUAUGAAAAGUAUUAUCGUUUUUGUGCACUUUGAGUAGACUUCAUCUUUUGUGCCCAAAUGGCCCCUCCAUGUCUCCAGCUCAGCAUUCUUAGCAUCAUCCCAACCUUUGUGUCAGUAGAACCAUUGAAAUUAAGAAAAAAAAAAACACAAAAAUCUAAAUUUGUAACUUCUCAAAAAAAAAAAAAAAAAAACCCAAUCUGCAAGUUUUCAAUUUGCUCAUUUGGAAAACAUUUUUUUUUAUAAAUAUCAAUAUUAUUUUUAAAAAAUGGUGACUUUUAGCUUUUAAUUAAAACUAAGAACAAGAAGUUAUUCCAAAUAUGACUUAUGUAUUUAUUCAGUGAAAGUAAUUUUUUCAUUUAAAAAAAGUAAUUUCUUGGUGAUAAAAAGAAAUAUUUUUUUAGUAGCUUUUCGAUGCUAUAAAAAAAGUGUUGGCUAAGUUUGUAUGAUAAAAUUGGUGUUAUUUAUAUACCAGCACUUUCGCUAGGGUCUUAUUUAUUGGGAAAACUGAUUAAUAAACUAAUCUUCUGUUUUGUUUUCAGUUCAAAGAGUGGUAGAGUAGAGGAGGAGGCAUGGCUCAGACAUUUGGGUGCAGCUCUGGAGAUAGUAGAUGGUCUCUCAAGGGAAUGACUGCUCUUGUAACUGGUGGAACUAAAGGAAUUGGGUUGGUGUUACCUGUUUUUAUGUCUUUGGGUUUGGACUAUACCUUCCUAUAUAUAAACGUAUGUAUCAAUUCUGCAGGCAUGCAAUUGUGGAGGAACUGGCUGGAUUAGGAGCAACCAUACACACGUGUUCUCGAAAAGAAACCGAGCUCAAUGAAUGCUUGAAGGAUUGGAAAGCUAAAGGUUUUGGAGUGAGUGGUUCAGUGUGUGAUGUAUCCUCUCGGGCCCAAAGGGAGAAGCUAAUGGAGACUGUCUCUUCUGUGUUCAAAGGGAAGCUGAAUAUCCUUGUAAGUUCCUCUAGUCUCUAAGGUUCCGAUCCAUGAUAUUCCACAUACUUUGUCGAACUUCCAACAAUUUGAGUUCCCCUACUUGAUAUAUAUAUUUUGGUUCCGGAUUCAGGUCAACAACGCUGCUAUUGUUAUUCAGAAACCAACAGUAGAGGUCACGGCAGAAGAGUUCUCAACAAUCAUGGCCAUAAAUUUUGAAUCUGUGUAUCAUCUGUCCCAACUCGCACACCCCCUUUUAAAGGCAUCAGGAGCGGGAAGCAUUGUAUUCAUCUCCUCUGUUGCCGGCGUAGUGUCAAUCAAGUAUCUGUCUGCUUAUUCAGUAACCAAAGGUAUUUCAUUACAUGAUCCACAUUAUAUAUAUAUAUAUAUAUUGCAAGUUCUUGGGUUGUGGCCCUUGUGGCCUUCUCGGCGUGUCAUUAUCAUUAUCAUAUUGUGAUUUUUCAGGAGCAAUGAAUCAGCUUACAAAGAAUUUGGCAUGCGAGUGGGCGGAAGACAAUAUUAGAAGUAAUGCAGUUGCUCCUUGGUACAUCAAAACUCCGAUGGUGGAUCAGGUAAUUCAGUUGCUCUUCUGUUUUGUCUGGGAAAAUUCAAUAAUCAAUUCCUCUCUCUUUUCUGUCUUUUGCAUAAUCUGGGUUGCAGAUGUUCAGUAACAAAACCUUUCUGGAAGAGGUGAUAAAUCGAGCUCCACUUCGCCGUGUGGGAGAUCCGAAGGAGGUGUCAUCUUUGGUGGCAUUCCUCUGUCUACCAGCAUCGUCUUACAUUACUGGACAGACUAUUUGUGUCGAUGGUGGCGUGACUGUUAAUGGUUUUGAGCCAAACCUGUUCUAGGAACAUCAUUAAGACUCUCAAAAAUCUUAGCUUCCUCUACCGCUUUCCUGUUUGGAUCCUGUCUUUUUCCUGAAUAAUCUGUUUGUGGUGGUAAGUACUCUUCUGUUUUUUCGGUGUGGGGUUCAUUUGAAAACAUUGUUGCAUGAUGCUUAUAAUAAUCGUUGGAAAGUUUGUAAGAAGUUACUUAUCAUUGGAUGAGAUUCUUGUGAUGGGUGUUUCCUAUAAUCAGAUUUAUCUUGUUAUUGUAGUAAUAGGAUUGAAAGAAAAAUGCAAAUAAUCAUAAAAGGAUGAUGAAAAUCGGGAAGAGUUCAUCAUUUUUACUUAUUCAAAUAUUACACCAUCUCUUAUUUACAAUAAAUUUCAAAGAGUGUAAGUGAAACCAACCUUAAAUUAAUUUUGUUUGAUAAAUUUAGAUGAAAUUCAACAAGUGUGAAUCUUUAAUUUUUUUUCAUUUCAAUUAAUUUGGUAUCUAUUAUGAGGUUGCCCAUCAAGCUAAAAAUGACCAAAUAUGAUAUAAGCAUGAAGUCUUUGUUAUAUCUCGGAGAUUAAGAAUUGAUUCCAAUACUUUAUAACUUCCUCUUUUUACUUUAUAUAUCCAUGAAUUUAAGAUAGGUCCCUCACAUGUUUAGCUUCUCCCCUUGACGUACGUAGUGUCAUAUGGACAAUAAUUAAUGCUUGUUCAGCUAAGGUCAAAUAUAUGAAAACAAAUAAGAUUCAUUCACGUAAAACAUACAUGUAGCAAAGAGACGAAGGAAAGUGGGUUCUGUGAUCUAUCACACAUCAUGGAAAAAGCUGUGGUACCAUGGCUUUUCCAGGACUUUUCCUUGCAUAAUGGUACUGACAACAGUAUGCUAUUCUGUUGUUACUCUUAAGAUAUUUUAAUAUAAAGUAGCGCGUAUGUACUAUAUACAAUUCAGUGACGCCAUCUAACACGUUAGCCAAUAAGGUUACAAAUUUUAAUUUUAUAUUAAUAAUAUGAUUUGGGUAUGCUCCAUAUUUUAAAAUAUAAUUGAAUCAUAAAUAUCUAGAACUAGAAAUCCUUUUGAGGGACCAAUAACAUAAAUCAUUAAAAUUUUAUAAUUUGAUAUUAUAAAUUCCUAAUUAAAUUUUAAAAUAUAUUAAAUUUAUUUGAUAUAAAUAUAUAUAAAAAUAAAGAAAAAAAUUAAUAUUUUCAUAUGAUAAAUUAUACAAAAAAAAACAAAUAUAUUUUUUUUUAUCAAAGUUGUUUUCAACAAUAUUUCAAAAAUAUAUAUAUAAAUUUGGGAAACUUGUAUUUUGGAGCUGCUAUUUAGAAAUGAUAUGGUUUUCAGAACCCAAAAAUGGGAAAUAUGAUAAUCAAUUUUUAAUAUGAAAAGUAUUAUCGUUUUUGUGCAUUCUGAGUCGGCUUCAUCUUUUGUGCCCAAAUUGCCCCUCCAUGUCUCCAGCUCAGCAUUCUCAACAUCAUCCCAACCUCCAUGUCAGUAGGACCAUUGAAAUUAAGAAAAAAAAAAACACUAAAAUCUAAAUUUGUAACUUCUCAAAAAAAAAAAAACCCAAUAUGCAAGUUUUCAAUUUGCUCAUUUGGAAGCUUUUUCUCAUCUUUUUCUCUCAUUUUAGUUUAGAAACUCAAAUCCAAAACUCUAAAUGUGAUAUGUUGUGGAAUUGUUUUCAUAGUCCUUAACAAGAUGCAUGCGGCAUGUACUGAACUUUAACCUAAUUCCUUCUACCAAUUUUUCUGGCCCCAAGUUACUAGGGACUAUGGCUCCGAUUGGGUGGUUUUUGAGUAGUCAAAAACCAUUUUUAAAGCUUAGUAAAAAAUUUUAUGCCCCUCAUUUUAUUUAAACAAUUUAUAACUUAAAAAAAUAAGAAAAUAAAAAAAAAUGUUUUUUUAAGCUUUAUUUUGACUUAUUCAAAAAGUUUUUUUAUUUUUUUUAUUUUUAUGUUUAAUACAUUUUUUAUAAUUUCAAUAUUAUUUUUAAAAAAUAGUGACUUUUAGCUUUUAAUUAAAACUAAGAACAAGAAGUUAUUCCAAAUAUGACUUAUGUAUUCAUUCAAUGAAAGUAACUUUUUCAUUUAAAAAAAGUAAUUUCUUGGUGAUAAAAAGAAAUAUUUUUUUAGUAGCUUUUUGAUGCUAUAAAAAAAGUGUUGGCUAAGUUUGUAUGAUAAAAUUGGUGUUAUUUAUAUACCUGCACUUUUGCUAGGGUCUUAUUUAUAGGGAAACUUGUGUUUAAUAUGCUCAAUUCUAUUUCUUUGUAUGGCUAUGCAAUUGUUCAGAUUUGGCAACACUAAUCAAUAAAUGUACGUUAUAUUUGAAACAUUGGAAUAAAAAAAAGAAUAAGAGUUAAUUUUAUUUUCAAUUUAUUACUAUAUUUGAAUUAUUUUUUACAAUGAUAAUAGAAUUAAAAAGAAAAUCACUUAGUAACCCUUAGGUACUACCUUAAUAUACCUUAAAUAACCUUAAUCGAUCUUAGAUAUUAUCUUAGUUACACUUGGGUACUACCUAUGUGAAGCCUCAAAACUUCAUUUGUAGACAUUACUUCAUGUGUGAACAUUAGAGAUGACAUUAUGUGCACCUUUAAUAAGUGUUACUAAGGUAGUACCUAAGGUACAAUCAACACUAUAUCAAAGGUGCACAUAAUGUCAUGCUCUAAUGUUCACAAAUAAAGUAAGUAAUGUUUACAAAUGAAGUUUCCAGGCUUCACACAGGUAGUAUCCAAGUCUAAUUAAGUAGUACCUAAGGUCGGUAAGGUAGAUUAAGGUAAUACCUAAGGGUUACUAAGGUAGUACCUAAGGUACAAUCACCACUAUAUCAAAGGGGCACAUAAUGUCAUGCUCUAAUGUUCACAAAUAAAGUAAGUAAUGUCCAUAAAUAAAGUUUCGAGGCUUCACACAGGUGGUACCCAAGUUUAACUGAGAUAAUACCUACAAUUAGUUAAAAUUAGUACCUACAAUCAGUUAAGAUAGUACUUAAGAUAAAUUAAUGUAGUACCUAAAGGUUACUAAGGUAGUACCUAAAGGUUACUAAGGUAGUACCUAAGGUACAGUAAAUACUAAAGAACAAUAAAUAAAAAUUAAUUACCUUCGUAUUUCGAGUAGGGGUUAGGGAAAAAUGUGACAGAAUGACAGGAAGACGAGACAUUUUUUUUUAGGAAACCAAUAUUUUGGAUUUCACCUUUUCGUCCAAGUACGCUUUGCUAUAGAAAAAUCAAUAUCAUAGUUGCGCCUAUUGAAACCAUCUUUUAACUGGACGUUCUUAGGAUGGAGUGCUCCAUUUGGUUGUUGAGAAUUUAGACAAGAAAGAAAAAUGCAGGUUGGAGUUUUGGAUUAAGGGUUUCUUUUCUCAAAUUGAAGAAAUUUUAGGAAAUUUUAAAUGGGUUUUAGGAUCGUCUGGGUGAUAAAGCCAAGAGAAAUAGAGAAAGAAAUGUUUCCAACCUUUAAGAGGAAAAAGUUUCAGAUUUGGGAAAUUUGAGAUGGUUCCCGGGUCAAGUGUUUUUUUGUGUUUUAGAUUUGAGAAGUUUCAAAUUCUUGGAGAAGAUAUAAAUAUGUAGAUUUGAAUUUUAAGGGUUUCUUUUUUGAAAUGAGAGAAAUUUUGGAAAAUUUUAUAGGUGUCUUUCUAAUUCGGCUAGGUAAGGAAGUGAAGAGAGUUGAGAGAAAAUGUUCCCAAAUGAGAGAGAUGGAAAGUUUUUGAUUUGGGAAAUUAGAGGUGUUGUCAGGAUGGGUGUUUAUGAGAACUUUCAAAUUCUAAUUUUUGUGUUUUGUUUAAUUUCAGAAGGUCUUGUUGACAUGAAAAGCUGACUUACUGCUGACAUGGAGACAUUGAGGGACAAUCUGGGAAUAGAAAAUGUAAACAUGACAUAGUGCAUGAGAACGAUAAUAUUUUCUCCAAUAACAGGGAAAUAUCAUAUUUCAUAUACUUGGGGUUCGAAAAGCAUAUAAUUUUCAAAUCACAGACUGAAAACACAAGUUUCCCAUAAAUAUACUUAAAGCAUGUUUGAUAACAAUUUUGAAAAAUAAUUUUCGAAAAUAGUUAUUUAAAAUUGUUUUUUGAUGUUUACAACAUAAAAAAAAAAAAAAAACAUGUUUGACAACCUAAAAUAAUUUUUAUAUCUAAUAUUUUAUUUUUAAUAAUUCGAUAUAUUUGUAUAAUUAUUUUUAAAAAUAGCUGUAAAAAAUAAGUGAAAACAAGUAAAGAUGUUAUCCGAAAACAUUAUAUUUUUUAUUUUUAAAAACAAAAAAUAGUUUUUCUUAUUCUCAAACAAGUUUUCCUGUUUUUUACGAAGAAAAAAUUAUUGUCAAACAAUCCCUUAUAUACUUGUGUUUUAUCAAGUGGUGAAAUAUCUUUGUAUGAAUUAUAUAGCAACUCAUAAGAGUAAGAGAAAAAGAGACAAUUUUAAAAGUGCAUAUGACAAGUGGAAAUUAUUAGAAAAGAGGCAAUUUUAAGAAUGGAUUUGAUAUGUGUCACAAAGACCACUAAAAUUUGGUGUGAAUAUAUAAAUAAGUUUUAAAUUUUGUUGAUUAACAUAUCUAUAAAUUUUUUUAUUUAUAAAAUUUAAUUUUUAGAGAAAUUUUAGAUAAAAAGAUUUUAGAUCUAUUCAAUCAAAAAUUGAAAGAGUAACUUAAUGUAUUUACUCUAAGCCUCAUGGUGUGUGAAUUAAACCAACCUUCAAAGAAAAAUAGAAAAAAAAAAAAGUGAAUCAUAAUAAAAAGGAAAGUAGUCAAAAUCAAAAGGAGAAUCAAAUUUGAUUUCCAUAUUAGUGAUUUUUUAAAAAAAAUUCUAUUAUCAUUGUAAAAAAUAAUUCAAAUACAUUAAUAAAUUGAAAAUAAACUUAACUCUUAUUCUCAUUUCUUAUUCCAAUGUUUCAAAUAUAACGUCCAUUUAUUGAUUAGUGUUGCCAAAUCCGAACAAUUGCAUAGCAAUACAAAGAAAUGGAAUUGAGCAUAUAAAACACUUUUUUUUUAUAGUAUCAAAAAGCUACUGAAAAAAAUAUUUCUUAUCUCCAAGAAAUUACUUUUUUAAAAUGAAAAAAUUACUUUCAUUGAAUGAAUACAUAAGCCGUAUUUGGAAUAACUUCUUAUUCUUAAUUUUAAUUAAAAGCAAAAAGUCACAAUUUUUUAAAAAUAAUAUUGAUAUUAUAAAAAAUGUAUUAAACAUAAAAAAACCUUUUUGAAUAAAUCAAAAUAAAGCUUUAAAAAAAACAUUUUCUUGAUUUUCAUAUUAAGUUAUUUUUUAAGUUAUAAAUUAUUUAAAUAAAAUGAGCAGCAUAAAAAAUCUUAUAGAGCUUUAAAAAUGGUUUUUGACUACUCAAAUCCACCCAAUCGGAACCAUCAUCCCGGUAACUUGGGGCCAGAAAAAUUGGCAAAAGGAAUGAGGUUAAAGUUCAGUACGUGUUGCAUGCAUCUUAUUAAAGACCAUAAAAGCAAUUCCAUAAUAUAUCACAUUUGGAGUUUUGGAUUUGGGUUUUUAAACUAAAAUGAGAGAAAUUUUGGGUUGUCGAAAGCGAAGAAAGAUGAGAGAAAACUUUCAAAUAAGUAAAUUGAAAACUUACAGAUUGUGUGUGUGUGUUUUUUUUUUUUUUUUUUAAAAAAAGUUAUAGAUUAAGAUUUUAAUAUUUUUUUUUUCUUAAUUUCAGUGGUUUGAUUGAUAUAGAGGUUGAAAUGAUGUUGAGGAUGCUAAGCUGGAGACAUGAAUGGGCAACUUGGGCAUGAAAGAUGGAGCCAGCUCAGAGGCAUAAAAACGAUAAUACUUUUUAUAUUAAAAAUUGAUUUUCAUAUUAAAUUUUAUACAUCUAUUUUAAAACAAUUAAAAUUUUAUUCAAUUUUCAAUUAUAAUAUAUGCACUGCCUCUCGCGGGUCGAUACUGCUGACGAGUGCAUGAAAUUAUUAUAAAUAUCUCAUGGAAUGAGGACAGAUUAAAGAAGAGGAGAGAGAGAGAGAGAGAGGGAGAAGAAGAAGACAACCAAAAAAGAAAAGGAAGACAGCAUUGUAAACAUAGAAAAUGGAAAGUAUUGGAAAUAUUUCAUGAAAUCGGAGUAAACAACAAAACAAAAUAAAAUACUUUUAAUCCCUGUUUCCUACUUCUGUCAUAAAGUAUGGAUAGAGAUGAGACGAAGGAGGAGAAGGAGGAGAAGGAGGAGCACUCAGCUUUCACCGAUACUGCAGUGUGUUGUGGUGGUGUAGCAUAUGGUAGGAUGUCAUUCUUGCUCCAAAAGUGUGGGCAGAUCCAUUUUUAUUUUCCUUUUUUCAUCUCUGUCCUCACUGAUUCGUUUUGGGUAUCCAUCAAUAUUUAUCAGUGGGCUUGGUGUUAGUCAAAAGCCACCAAUUUUUCUUUCCUUUUUUUUUUUCCCAUAUAUUAGAAUGAAAUGUUGUUGUCCAUUUUAGGGGAAGGCGUUAUGCUGAACUGAACUGUGCGAGGGGAAUGAAAAUUAAUUUAGGGGUUUUCUUCCUCCUCUAUUUUUGGCUCUCUUUCAUGAGGGUACAGAUUCUCUUUUUUUCUCUCGGAGUGUUUGGAUUGUUUCAUUCCAUUUAACUAUUUUUGCAGCAUAUUCCGAGUGUUAUAGGUAUUGGGUAAUCAGUAAUACAGAAAAUGUAAUAUAAUUUUGUACUAUGUAGUUUUGGACUUGGGGUAGGAUGAGUUUAAUUUAUGUAGAUUCAUGUCACUAUUCUCAGCCUUCAAUGCAUUGAUUUCUCCAGAUUUUGAUAUAUAUAUAUAUAUAUAUAUACAAACUGCAAUGGGAAUAAAAAGGAUGGUUGUUUCUUCAAGAAUUCUGAGAAAAAAAAAGGGGGUGGGGGGGCAAGAGAGGUUUGAGGAGGCCAUUGGGACUGUUAUCAGUUCUGUGUCUUUUGUUUUCAAGUUGUAAGAAGUCCCUGUUAUGCCAUUUGCUAUGUUGUUUCUGUCCAAUUUUCAGUUGAAAGAGUGGUAGAUUAGAGAAGGAGGAAUGGCUCAGACAUCUGGAUGCAGCUCUGGAGAUAGUAGAUGGUCUCUCAAGGGAAUGACUGCUCUCGUAACUGGUGGAACUAAAGGAAUUGGGUUUGUGAUGUUACCUGUAUUCUAUGUCUUUGGUUUGGACUACACCUUCCUUCCCAUAUAUAAAUGUAUGUAUCAAUUAUGCAGGCAUGCAAUUGUGGAAGAACUGGCUGGACUAGGAGCAACCAUACACACAUGUUCUAGAAAAGAAACCGAGCUCAAUGAAUGCUUGAAGGAUUGGAAAGCUAAAGGUUUUGGAGUGAGUGGUUCAGUGUGUGAUGUAUCCUCUCGGGCCCAAAGGGAGAAGCUAAUGCAGACUAUCUCUUCUGUGUUCAAUGGGAAGUUGAAUAUCCUUGUAAGUUCCUCUAGCCUGUAAAGUUCCAACCUGUGAUCUUAUACAUAAUUUGUUGAACUUAUUACAAUUGAGUUCCCCUGCUUGAAUUUUUGUUGGAUUCAGAUCAACAAUGCUGCUAUAAGUAUUCAGAAACCAACAAUAGAGGUCACAGCUGAAGAGUUCUCAACAAUCAUGGCCACAAAUUUUGAAUCUGUGUACCAUCUGUCCCAAAUCGCACACCCCCUUUUAAAGGCAUCAGGAGCCGGAAGCAUUGUAUUCAUCUCCUCUGUUUCCGGCAUAGUGGCACACAAGAAUAUCUCUGCUUAUUCAGUAACCAAAGGUAUUUCAUCACAUGAUCCAUGGUAUAUUCCAAGUGCUAGGAGUAAAUUCCUAUUUACCAGAGCAAUACUGAACAAGAGAAACAUAUAGAAUUUAUAGCGGUUCUCUUCUAAAGGGAGAGCUACAUCCAUUUUGCCAUUGUAGAUUUUCAUUAUGAAAAAAAAAAAAACCUACAGAACGAUCUCAGGUCUUACAAUAAUUAUCUCAUCUCUGAUUUUCCACAGAGAAAACAGUCACCAUGCAUGUACAAAAUAACUAUAAUAUCCCUUUGAUUGAUUCUCAGUCACCAGGAAAAGUGUAUAUUGUAAUUAGCAAGGCUCCACACAACUGAACAGCAAGUCCUUGGAUUGACCAUCUGUCAUUAUCAUUUUGUGAUUUUUCAGGAGCAAUGAAUCAACUUACAAAGAAUUUGGCAUGCGAGUGGGCGAAAGACAAUAUUAGAAGUAAUGCUGUAGCUCCUUGGUACAUCAAAACUCCAAUGGUGGAGCAGGUAAUUUCUAAUUUCCCUUCACAUCAUUUAGUUGCUCGAAUUCCCUUCUUUUUUUCUUGGUCUGGGAAAAUAGAAUAAUUGACUCGUCCUUCCUUCUCUGUCGUUUACAUUCUCUGGGUUCCAGAUGCUCACUAACCAAGCCUUUCUGGAAGAGGUGAUAAAUCGAGCUCCACUUCGUCGUGUGGGAGAUCCAAAGGAGGUGUCAUCUUUGGUAGCAUUCCUCUGCCUACCGGCAUCAUCUUACAUUACUGGACAGAUUAUUUGUGUUGAUGGUGGCAUGACUGUUAAUGGUUUUGAGUCAAACCUGCUCUAGGAACAUCAUAUGUGAUGGUAUUAUAGCCCUAAUUUGGCUGGCAUGUAUGGAGACUCUUUCAAACAUCUUAGCUUCCUCUACUGCUUCCAUGCCUGGAUCCUUUCUUUUUCCUGAAUAAUCUGCUUGUCAUGCCAAAGUCUUUAGUUUUUUUGGUGUGGGGUUCCCUUGAAAACCUUGCUGCAUGAUGCUUAUAAUAAUGUUUGGAAAGUUUGCUAAUUUUUAUUUGGGUUCAAAUUUUAAUUUUUCAAAAAGUUUCUUAUUAUUUGAUGAGAUUCUUGUGAAGGGUGUUUUUAUAAGGAUUUUAAUUCCAUACAUAAAUCAUACAUCUUUAAUCUCAAUACCAUUGAAAUAUAUAUCCAAUCCUUUGUUGUUCUUUCGUUUUUUUGUAACUUAAUUGUAGUAGGAUCGGAAAUAUGCGAACACUUUCUACUUUUGACCAUUUGCUUUGCUAAAUUAGACCAACUUUUCAUAAUACAAUUCUCAAGUAUUUCUUCAUUUUCAUUACAAUGAUCAUGCAUGGAUAUGGAAAAACUAAUCGGACUCUAAUGUCGUUCAAAUGCAUUUCAUAGAUCAAUCUUCAUCGUCGUAUCCUAAUUUUCAAAACUUGUUAGAACUUCUAAACUUAGUCAAUAUGUAUAGACAUGAUAUCCUCCAUGAUUUUUUUUUAUUGCAACGAAAAAAAGUUAUACAUUCUAUAUUUGAUCCCUAAAUAAAAAAGAAAAAAAGAAAAAAAAAAGAAUGUCUUGCAAAAAUAUUAGGGUUGCACAAAGUUUGGUUGUUAGAAUAAGUAAAAAUGAUGUGCAUCAAAAUAUGUCUUUGAGAAUGGCAAAUAUGUGAGUGCGCUUUAAAAACUCAAAUGGCUUCAAAUGAAUUUCAAGGAAAUGAUUCCAACAUAUAUUCAUCUUCUUAUACCUUUCUGUGCUUCUCCACCAUUUGUAACAAUUUCCUCACUCAUUUGUAAUCCUAAUAAACCUUCCGACCUAUUUUAAAAUUUGUCAAUAUAUUUUAAGCUAAGCUCACCAUCUAUAGUAUCAAAAAAAUUUCUCCUUAAUCCAUGUGGGAUAUGUAUAAUGAAUAAUAUUUGCUCAAAGGUUAAAUAUAUGAAAAUAAUUAAGAUUCAAUCACAUAAAAAUUACAUAUAGCAAGUAGGGAUAACAAUUUUGAUACUAAUAUAAUAAAACGACUAAAAAAUUACAUGGAUUUUAGUAGUUUUGGGUUAAGUAUAAUCAUAUUUAUGUUAUAAUUGUGUAAACACAUUUAUUAAACCAAUGAUAUUGGAAUGUGACUAUUCAACUCAUUUAACCCAUUUAUUUAUUCAUAUCAAAACACAUCUAUGAUAUGAUUAUGAGAACUAAUUUAUGAUUGACAUAACCAAUUUAUAACUUAUUAAUUAAUUCAUAUAAAUUUAUUAAUUUUAUAGAUAUUUAAAAAAUAUUAAAAAUUUAAAACACUUUUUCAAUUAUAAAGAUGUCCUAUAAAACACUAAGGAGGUCACCCUUAUUUAUAUAUGAAAUUAGGGAAUUAAAUUUGAAAUAUAUGAUAUUUGAUUACUUAAUUUAAAGAAUUUGAUUUCUUAAUUUCAAUAACUUUUCAGCCUCAUUUAAGAAAUUUGCCAACAAUCAAAUGUUUUUUCUAAGUCCCUUUUGACUUCAAUUUCCCAAUUUGUUUCUCCUAUUUGAGAAAUCUAUCAAUAAGAAAAUAUUUCUCUCUAAUUCCUUUUUAACUUUAAUUAUUUUAUUUUAUUUUAUAAGACUAGAUUUUGAAACCGUUCAAAUUUUACCGUGUGUUAUUUUUAAAAUCGUAUAUCGCAUGUUCAAUGUGUAGAAUUCAUGACUUAUGAAAUCCAAAUUUUAUUGAACUAUAGGGUUAUAACUUUAGUGACAAAUUUUAUAGUAAUUUAAUCCUUCUUUUAUUUUUAAGCCUACAUAGCUCAACAAGUUGAAUAUAUUUUUAUCGUGUUAAUGGGUUAUCAGUCUUGAUUUAAUUUAAUUUAUCAAAGAGGUUAAAUGAAUGAUUCCCAAUUUGCCACCACAAUAACAAGAGACAACAGACAGAAGGAAAGAGAAACUAAAAUACGUAAUGUGACUUUUCCUUUCAUGUUGCUUACUAUACUUGGUGUCUCUUAAUUUGUUUUUAUUAUAAGAUGUUAAUAAUAUGAUUUUAUUGAUUUAUACCCCAUAUAUAUCAUUUGAGGGAUUGAAAAUAUUGCAAAUUCAUAAUUAAAUUUAAAAGAUAAAUACAUAUACACACACACACAUAUAUAUAUAUAUAUAUAUAUAUAUAUAUAUAUAUAUGAAUAAAAAAAAUCAUCUAUGUAUAAAAUAAUAAUAAGUAGUCUAUUUUUAUCAUUUUUAUGUUAGAAGUUAAUCGAAAACAUAUUUUUUGUUUUUCCAUAAUUUAUACAAAAUUAUAAUAAAAUUUUUAUUCUAGAUAAAAUUAUAUUUUAUAAUUUGUAAUAAUUUAAUUAUAUCAAUUUAAUAUUUUGAUAUCCGUCGUAAAUUAUAUAGAAAUAUUGGAGUGCAAAUACUAAACUACAUAAUAACAACAAGACACCUUAUUCAUCCAAAUUUUCAAAUUUCAAAUAGAAAAUAUUAAAAACAUAAUUUUUAAAUUUAUUAAAAUAUUUAUAUUUGUAAAAAAGUAAUUAAUAAAGAUUUUAAAAUUUUAAAUAUGAUUAAUGAGAUUAUUAUGUGGGUAUUUAUUACUAAUAUUUAAUAUUAAAAAAAAUAAAAUAACAAUAUGAUAUUAAGAUUAUAUUUUUAUAAAUAUAGCAAAAUGAGAUUAUUCUAAAUUCAGUGAUGAUAACAUUAUAGUAAAAAUAAGGAGUGAUAUAAUUAUAAAUAUUUCACUAAGAGCAUAAAAAAUAAAAAAAUAUGGUAAAUUUAGCGAGUAAUAUUGUUACUAUAAAUAUCUGGUGACACGACGACAGAUAUAUGAGUAGAGAAAAACCUCGCUAUUCUACAUAUAGAGAUUCAGAUACCAUUGCCUAUGUCAUGAAAUCAGAGUCCACAAGAAGACAACAUAAAAUGCUAUCGAUCCAUCGCUGUUUCUUGCUCCUGUUAUAAAUUAUGGAUACUAGAUGAAGAUGAGAAGUAGAAGGAGAAGAAACACUUAGCUUUCAAGGAGUCGUAGAGCAGAGGAGGAGACAUGGCUCAGACAUGUGGGUGCAGCUCUGGAGAUAGUAGAUGGUUUCUCAAGGGAAUGACUGCUCUUGUAACCGGUGGAACUAAAGGAAUUGGGUUGGUGUUACCUGUUUUUACGUCUUUGGGUUUGGACUACACCUUCCUAUAUAUAAACGUAUGUAUCAAUUCUGCAGGCAUGCAAUUGUGGAGGAACUGGCUGGAUUAGGAGCAACCAUACACACGUGUUCUCGAAAAGAAAGCGAGCUCAAUGAAUGCUUAAAGGAUUGGAAAGCUAAAGGUUUGGAGUGAGUGGUUCAGUGUGUGAUGUAUCCUCUCGGGCCCAAAGGGAGAAGCUAAUGGAGACUGUCUCUUCUGUGUUCAAUGGGAAGCUGUAUAUCCUUGUAAGUUCCUCUAGUCUCUAAGGUUCCUAUCCAUGAUAUUCCACAUACUUUGUCGAACUUCCUACAAUUUGAGUUCCCCUACUUGAUAUAUAUAUAUAUAUAUAUAUUAUAUACUUUUUUUUAGAACCAGACAGCUUUGGUUUCAAAGACCCUACAUUUACCCAUCAUCCUUGUUAAAUAAUUAUGAGGAAGUCAUACUUACACGUGGAGAUUGAAAAAAAUAAUGAAUGAAUUCCACCAAAUGAAUUAAUUUUGUUUGGCAAUUUCAUUUGAAAAUCAACAAAGAAUGAUGUGAGGUGUGAAUCUUUUUCCAUAUAUCAGCGCACAUAUUCAAAUUCAGCCCUUUCCAUUAAUCUGAUAGCGAUUAUGAGGUUGCGUAGAUGCUACAACAACGACCAAAUGUGAUGAAGAUUUCAGGAAGUGUUGUGAAGAAUUUGAAGAAAAAUAUGAAGAAUUUGAAACAAAAUAUGGAGGAACACCUCAAUUCAUUCUGUGAUACCUUCCUUUACAAUGAAUGAAAGCAUAAAUAAAUAGCCUACGGAUAUGAGACAAUUCCGGAAUGGAAUUUCCCUUACAUGGAAAGUGAAUAAACUCUUACAUGGGAAGUGAAUAAACUACUCUUACAUGGAAAGUGAAUAAACUACCUUGCUAGAAUUACUCCUAAAUAUAUAAACUACUCUUACAUGGAAAGUGAAUAAACUACCUUGCUAGAAUUACUCCUAAAUCAAUUAUAAUAAAGGCUGUACAUUACACUAAUUAGGGAAGUAAACAGAGGAUGCUGGCUUGAUUUCCAACACUCCCCCUCAAGCCGCAUUGUAGAUGUUGAUCAUUCCAAGUUUUUCUGUCAGAUCUUCGAAGUUAACUCGAGCAAGAGCUUUUGUGAGAAUGUCAGCCGUUUGACAGUUUGUCGGAGUGUAGCUGACUUUGAAAACUCCUUCUUCAAUCUUUUCCUUGAUAAAGUGUCGAUCUAUCUCCACGUGCUUAGUUCGAUCAUGAUGAACCGGAUUCUUAGCGAUACUGAUGGCAGCUUGAUUGUCGCAGUAUAACACCAUGGGAUGCUUCAAUGGAACCCGUAAUUCUUCUAACAGCCUGUUCAACCAGAUUCCCUCGCAGAUACCUUGUGCCAUAGCACGAAAUUCUGCCUCAGCACUGCUACGGGCUACCACUGACUGUUUCUUGCUUCGCCAUGUAACCAAGUUCCCUCAGACAAAUGAACAAUAGCCUGAAGUUGAUCUCCGAUCAGUCACUAAACCUGCCCAAUCUGCAUCUGAAAAAAUCUCUAUCUCUUUAUUUGUUGUUCUUUGAAAGAAGAGACCCUUUCCCGGUGUCAUCUUGAGGUAUCUCAAUAUUCUGAUCACAGCAAUCAUGUGUUUUUCGGUUGGAUUAUUCAUGAAUUGACUUACCACACUAACGGAGAAGCCGAUGUCUGGCCUUGUAUGAGAAAGAUAGAUGAGUUUCCCCACAAGACGUUGAUAUCUUCCUUUAUCAACUGGCGCACUUCCAUCACAUUUCUUCCANNNNNNNNNNNNNNNNNNNNNNNNNNNNNNNNNNNNNNNNNNNNNNNNNNNNNNNNNNNNNNNNNNNNNNNNNNNNNNNNNNNNNNNNNNNNNNNNNNNNNNNNNNNNNNNNNNNNNNNNNNNNNNNNNNNNNNNNNNNNNNNNNNNNNNNNNNNNNNNNNNNNNNNNNNNNNNNNNNNNNNNNNNNNNNNNNNNNNNNNNNNNNNNNNNNNNNNNNNNNNNNNNNNNNNNNNNNNNNNNNNNNNNNNNNNNNNNNNNNNNNNNNNNNNNNNNNNNNNNNNNNNNNNNNNNNNNNNNNNNNNNNNNNNNNNNNNNNNNNNNNNNNNNNNNNNNNNNNNNNNNNNNNNNNNNNNNNNNNNNNNNNNNNNNNNNNNNNNNNNNNNNNNNNNNNNNNNNNNNNNNNNNNNNNNNNNNNNNNNNNNNNNNNNNNNNNNNNNNNNNNNNNNNNNNNNNNNNNNNNNNNNNNNNNNNNNNNNNNNNNNNNNNNNNNNNNNNNNNNNNNNNNNNNNNNNNNNNNNNNNNNNNNNNNNNNNNNNNNNNNNNNNNNNNNNNNNNNNNNNNNNNNNNNNNNNNNNNNNNNNNNNNNNNNNNNNNNNNNNNNNNNNNNNNNNNNNNNNNNNNNNNNNNNNNNNNNNNNNNNNNNNNNNNNNNNNNNNNNNNNNNNNNNNNNNNNNNNNNNNNNNNNNNNNNNNNNNNNNNNNNNNNNNNNNNNNNNNNNNNNNNNNNNNNNNNNNNNNNNNNNNNNNNNNNNNNNNNNNNNNNNNNNNNNNNNNNNNNNNNNNNNNNNNNNNNNNNNNNNNNNNNNNNNNNNNNNNNNNNNNNNNNNNNNNNNNNNNNNNNNNNNNNNNNNNNNNNNNNNNNNNNNNNNNNNNNNNNNNNNNNNNNNNNNNNNNNNNNNNNNNNNNNNNNNNNNNNNNNNNNNNNNNNNNNNNNNNNNNNNNNNNNNNNNNNNNNNNNNNNNNNNNNNNNNNNNNNNAUGCAUGAAACGUAGGUGAUAGCUUAUCAUAAGAAAAUAAAAUUUCCAAAUGGGAUGCUGAGUGCAUGAUCUAACUCCUUUCCUCCAAGCUAUGGGCAUAUUAAGAAUAUCAUUUUCUAACUCGGAAUCAACAGUACCAUCAGGAGCGUUGUUACCUGGAAGUUUGCUUGGAUUAGGACCCGGUUCUGCCUCAUGGGUUUGUUGAGAAAGUGAUCUUUCCUCCGUUUCCUCUUGGAUGUGCUCCUUAUCCCACAAGUCAACAAUGGACUCGGGUUGAUUAAAUGACUCUGGAGGAAUGUGAUUUUCAGUGGUGAUGGGUGACUCACUGAAUGACUCAAGAUCCCAAAAUUGAUAUUCCUGAGUUGAAUUCUCCCCCUGAAUAUCGUUUUUGGGAUAGUAAGGCUGGGUUUCAAAAAAGGUGACAUCCAUUGAAUUUUAGAAUUUUCUUGUGACCGGAGAGUAACACUUAUACCCUUUUUGAUUUGAAGAAUACCCAAGAAAGAUGCACUUGAGUGACCUAGGAUCAAGUUUACUUCUAUGUUGUUGAUUGAUAUGAACAAAGAUAGAGCACCCGAAAAUUUUAGGUGGGACGGUGGAGAUGAGACGAGUAGUCGGAAAGGAUUUUAGGAGUGUUUGACAAGGUGUUUGGAAUUUUAGUACCCUAGACGGCAUCCUAUUGAUGAGGUAGGCUGCCAUAAGGACAGCUUGCCCCCAGAAUAAUUUUGGAACAUUCAUGGAGAACAUUAGUGAUCUAGCCACCUCUAACAAAUGCCUAUUUUUCCUUUCAGCGAUUCCGUUUUGUUGUGGGGUAUCAACACAUGAAUUUAAGUGAACUAUCCCUUCUUGUGCUAGAAAUUCUCCUAGAAUGGAGUUGAAAUAAUCCCUAGCAUUAUCAGACUUUAGAAUUUGUAUUUUUGACUGGAAUUGAGUCUGAAUCAUAUUUUUAAAAUUUUUGAAAAUUUGACUCGUUUCAGAUUUUUCUUUCAUGAGGAAUACCCAAGUUAAUCUAGUGUGAUCAUCUAUGAAUGAGACAAACCACCUAGUACCAGUUACAUUUUUUAUUCUUGAUGGACCCCAGAUAUUGCUAUGAAUCAUUGAGAAUGGACUAGACUCUUUAUAGGGUUGAAUGGGAAAAUGAGACCGGACUUGCUUUGAUAAUUGACAGAUUUCACACUCAAAGGAUUUUGGAUUUUUAUUAAAUAAUGAAGGAAAUAAAUGCUUGAGAUACAUAACAUUUGGAUGACCUAAGCGAUAGUGCCACAACCUAAUUGCACUAUCGUUAUUUUGACAUGAAACCAAAAAAGAAUUACUACCAACUGUCAUUUGAGGUUGUUCUUGUGGAUCGUGGCGCUCCUUAAGGAUGUAGAGUCCAGAGCAUUCCUCAGCAUUGCCAAUCGUCUUCCCCGAAUCCAAAUCCUGAAAUUCACAGUGAGUGGAGGAAAAAUUAGUAGAUACACCUCUUUUCCUUAGUGAGUUUACUAANNNNNNNNNNNNNNNNNNNNNNNNNNNNNNNNNNNNNNNNNNNNNNNNNNNNNNNNNNNNNNNNNNNNNNNNNNNNNNNNNNNNNNNNNNNNNNNNNNNNCGUCAUAUGAUCAGAUGCUCCUGAGUCCACUAUCCAAGGUUUUUUACGUUUCUUACCAGCAGUGAAGGCACUCAAAAAAUUACCUUUGUGAGCCAAGGUUCCGGAACCAAUGACCUGGUUGGAAGAUGAGCCAGUUUGUGACUGUACUGACAAAAGAGGAGACAGUAGUUUCUGAAGCAUCUCCAUCUGAUGAGAGGAUGAAGACGAUGAGAUGAUGAUAUCAGAAGUAGAGGAUGAUGAGUUGGUAGCCAUUCCAAAGGCUGGACCGUAUUUAGGCAUAAAUUAGAAGAAUAGAAUUGAGUAAAAAAAAACUGACUAAAGAUGAAGACGAUGAGACAGGAUUAAACCUGCUCUGAUACCAUGAAGAAUUUGAAGAAAAAUAUGAAGAAUUUGAAAACAAAAUAUGGAGGAACACCUCAAUUCAUUCUGUGAUACCUUCCUUUACAAUGAAUGAAAGCAUAAAUAAAUAGCCUACGGAUAUGAGACAAUUCCGGAAGGGAAUUUCCCUUACAUGGAAAGUGAAUAAACUCUUACAUGGGAAGUGAAUAAACUACUCUUACAUGGAAAGUGAAUAAACUACCUUGCUAGAAUUACUCCUAAAUCAAUUAUAAUAAAGGCUGUACAUUACACUAAUUAGGGAAGUAAACAGAGGAUGCUGGCUUGAUUUCCAACAUGUUGGAGUGCGCAUGCUUGAGGAUGAAAACUGUGAACUUGAAAUGACUUAGAAGAUUAAUUUAAGUUUUCAAAUACAUAAAAUAUAAUUAAUAACAUAACUUAAUACAAUAAGUUAAGGCUUCCUAAAGUCUUAAAAUAAAUAACUUUUUCCCAACCUGAAAUAUCCUUUGCCUUGGUAAUAUUCAUGUUCUUCAAGAUCAAAAUUAGUUUGUUUGAUAUAUAAUUCAAAUUAAAAGAUGGAGGGUGUGCCGGGUCCUUUCUAAAUUCAAAAUGGCAUCAUGAAUCAGGUAAGGUUGUGCCCCACGGAUGAAAAUAUAGUAUUAGUUUGGACAAUGUGCCAUGGAAAGAAGAUAGAUUAAGUUCUACAUAUUCAUAUCAGUUGUCUCAGCUUUCACGGCAGACAUUUUCGACGCAAGAGACCGUCUCUUGCGGUGAGUAUUAACCACACUUCUAAAGUUGGAUGUUCGAGAAGACAACUGGGAUUGAUCAGUUUUGUCUCUUUUAUUUUCAGCUUCCUAGAAUCUCUCUCUCUAUCUCUCUUUUUUUUUUCUCAAGGUUAAUGUCAUUUUCUAUGUUGUGGUAGAGUAGAGAAGAACUCAGAAGGCAUGGCACAGACUGGCUGCAGCAAUGGAGAUAAUAGAUGGUCUCUCAAGGGAAUGACAGCCCUUGUAACGGGUGGAAUGAACUUUGAUCUGUCUCUGCCAAUUAUCACCUUGUUUUUAUAUCAAUUCUGCAGGCAUGCUGUUGUGGAAGAACUGACUGGAUUAGGUGCAAGAAUACAUACAUGUUCUCGAACAGAAACUGGGCUUAAUGAAUACUUAAGGGAUUGGGAGGGUAAAGGUUUUGAAGUCACUGGCUCAGUCUGUGAUGUAUCCUCUAGGGCCCAAAGAGAGAAGCUAAUGGAGACAGUAUCUUCUAAGUUUAAUGGGAAGCUGAAUAUCCUUGUUAGUUCCUCUAGUUUGUUAAAUGUGACCCAUCCAUUUUAGAAUCAUUUUCACUAAAUAUAAUUGAUGAGUUACCCUAACUGAAUCUUUGAAUUUAGAUCAACAACGCUGGAACUGGCAAACCGGGACGGACAGUGGAGUUCGCAGCUGAAGAGUUCUCAACGGUCAUGGCUGUAAAUUUUGAAUCUGUGUAUCAUCUAUGCCAACUUGCGCAUCCCCUUCUGAAGGCCUCAGGAGCGGGAAGUAUUGUGCUCAUGUCUUGUGUUUCAGGUGUAGUAUCACUCAAGUAUCUAUCUGCCUAUGGAGCAACCAAAGGUACUUCAUGCCACCAUCGGGUUUAUGUUGCAGGUCCUGUGUUGUUGGACAAGAUGAUAGAUAUUUACCUUUAAAAUUUUUCUUUCGGGGGCACUGAAUCAGCUUGCAAAGAACUUGGCAUGCGAGUGGGCGCAAGACAAUAUCAGGACAAACUCUGUUGCCCCUCGGUACAUCAAAACUUCUCUGGUAGAACCUGUGAGUUUAAUUCCCUUCACCUCAUUUAAAAGUUGCUGUUGUUUUCAUUGGGAAAACUGAUUAAUAAACCAAUCUUCUGUUUUGUUUUCUUUUAUUUUUUUGGUUGUAUCAUUUUGGUUUCAGUUUCUUAGUGAGAAAAGCUUUACGGAAGAGGUAAUAAGAAGAACUCCGCUUGGUCGAGUGGGGGAUCCAAAGGAGGUGUCAUCCUUGGUAGCAUUCCUCUGCCUACCAGUAUCAUCUUACAUUACUGGCCAGACCAUUUGUGCUGAUGGUGGGAUGAAUGUUAAUGGUUUCGAUCCGAGUCAAUGCUAGAAACAACUAGCAUUUAUAUAAUUGUUGUUUUCUCAUAUUUUUCAUACUCACUCUAAUAUUCUUCAUUAUCAUAUUUAUAUAUAUAUAUAUAUAUAGAUAUAUAUAUAUAUUUAUGUAGGUGUACGUGCACACGUGUGUUCAUGUGCGGAUCAUGGACAUUUUUUUUGUAUUCUGUCAUAUUCUUCUUACACUCUCAAAAUAUUCAUAUAUUUUUUACAAUCUUCAUGCAUUUUUUUUUUUUAAUUCUUGAUAUUCUCUCAUAUUCUUUGUAUAAUUUAUAUUGGAAAAAUGAAUAAAAAAAAUAUGGUUUAAAAUUGAUAAAAUAAGAAUAAAAGAUAUAAAAAUAAAAUAAAAUGAUAGAAAAAUAUCAAUAUUAGAGGAAGAUAUACUUGGAUAAUUAGACGCUAAAACCUUGAAGAUGCAAACAUAGUAUGUGGCUAUUUAAUGAGGAACUUAAGGAAUUUGUUCAAUAAUAGUAGCUACCAUGGGAUUAAAGGAUAGUGUAAACGAGUCCGAGGGAGAAACAAUUUUAAUAAAAAAUUAAUUAAAAAUUUAUAUAUUUGUAAUAAAAAUUUGAAAUAAGUUAAAUUAAUUUAAAAUGAUAUAUAAAAAUGAUUUACUGCUUUAAAUCUAUUUUUAUUUUUUAUUUUUUUUUCAUUUCUUUUUUACUUUUUCUUUAUAUAUAUAUAUAUAUAUAUAUAGAUAUAGAUAUAGAUAUAUAUAUUAUAUAUUUUUUUGAGAACCAGCCAGCUUUGGUUUCAAAGACCCUACAUUUACCCACCAUCCUUGUCAAAUAAUUAUGAGGAGCUCAUGCUUACAUGUGGAGAUUGAAAAAAAAUAAUGAUUGAAUUCCACCAAAUGAAUUAAUUUUGUUUGGCAAUUUCAUUUGAAAAUCAACAAAGAAUGAUGUGAUGUGUGAAUCUUUUUCCAUAUAUCAGCGCACAUAUUCAAAUUCAUCCCUUUCCAUUAAUCUGAUAGCGAUUAUGAGGUUGCGUAGAUGCUACGACGACGACCAAAUGUGAUGAAGAUUUCAGGAAGUGUUGGAGUGCGCAUGCUUGAGGACCAAAACUGUGAACUUGAAAUGACUAUUGAAUGCUACCAUAUGAAAUUCGGCCUGAAUCUUUUUCCAAUUCAAAUGCAGGCAGUUCCAUUAAUUUGAUAGAUAUUAUGAGGUUGCCUAUCAUGCUAAGAUAACCAAAUCCGAUGAGAAGUUCAAGAAGUGUUUUGAGUGUGUUUUAGUACUGACACCAUGAAUUCAAAAACAAAUAUAACAUAGAAACACAAAUCAAAACCCAUCACAUGAUGAUAUAGUCGAUAGGAAAUUUGCUUUCUUAAACCAUGCCACGUCCCAUGAAAAAGAAAAUUAAGAAAAUUACAAAUUUUACUUCGAUGGGCUCACAUGCUAUGUGAACCGUCCACUUAAUCGAGGUUAAGAUUAUCUUCAUUUACUUAGAAGAUAAUAAUGAAUUUUUCAAGUAAAAUUUUUUGAGAACCAGACAGCUUUGGUUUCAAAGACCCUACAUUUACCCAUCAUCCUUGUUAAAUAAUUAUGAGGAAGUCAUACUUACACGUGGAGAUUGAAAAAAAUAAUGAAUGAAUUCCACCAAACGAAUUAAUUUUGUUUGGCAAUUUCAUUUGAAAAUCAACAAAGAAUGAUGUGAGGUGUGAAUCUUUUUCCAUAUAUCAGCGCACAUAUUCAAAUUCAGCCCUUUCCAUUAAUUUGAUAGCGAUUAUGAGGUUGCGUAGAUGCUACGACGACGACCAAAUGUGAUGAAGAUUUCAGGAAGUGUUGGAGUGCGCAUGUUUGAGGACGAAAACUGUGAACUUGAAAUGACUUAGAAGAUUAAUUUAAGUUUUCAAAUACAUAAAAUAUAAUUAAUAACAUAACUUAAUACAAUAAGUUAAGGCUUCCUAAAGUCUUAAAAUAAAUAACUUUUUCCCAACCUGAAAUAUCCUUUGCCUUGGUAAUAUUCAUGUUCUUCAAGAUCAAAAUUAGUUUGUUUGAUAUAUAAUUCAAAUUAAAAGAUGGAGGGUGUGUCGGUCCUUUCUAAAUUCAAAAUUGCAUCAUCAAUCAAUCGGAUAAGGUUGUGUCCGACGGAUGAAAAUGUAAUAUUAGUUUGGACAAUGUGCCAUGGAAAGAAGAUAGAUAGAUUAAGUUCUACAUAUUCAUAUCAGUUGUCUCAGCUUUCACGGCAGACAUUUUCGACGCAAGAGACUGUCUCUUGCGGUGAGUAUUAACCACACUUCUAAACUUGGAUGUUCGAGAAGACAACUGGGAUUGAUCAGUUUUGUCUCUUUUAUUUUCAGCUUCCUAGAAUCUCUUUUUUUUUUUUUUCUCAAGGUUAAUGUCAUUUUCUAUGUUGUGGUAGAGUAGAGAAGAGCUCAGAAGGCAUGGCACAGACUGGCUGCAGCAAUGGAGAUAAUAGAUGGUCUCUCAAGGGAAUGACGGCCCUUGUAACGGGUGGAACUAGAGGAAUCGGGUCCGUGUUACCUGUUUUUCUGUUCUGGAAUGAACUUAAUUUGAUCUGUCUCUGCCAAUUAUCACCUUGUUUUUAUAUCAAUUCUGUAGGCAUGCUGUUGUGGAAGAACUGACUGGAUUAGGUGCAAGAAUACAUACAUGUUCUCGAACAGAAACUGAGCUUAAUGAAUAUUUAAGGGAUUGGGAGGGUAAAGGUUUUGAAGUCACUGGCUCAGUCUGUGAUGUAUCCUCUAGGGCCCAAAGAGAGAAGCUAAUGGAGACAGUAUCUUCUAAGUUUAAUGGGAAGCUGAAUAUCCUUGUUAGUUAACCUCUAGUUUGUUAAAUGUGGCCCAUCCAUUUUAGAAUCAUUUUCAUUAAAUAUAAUUGAUGAGUUACCCUAACCGAAUCUUUGAAUUUAGAUCAACAACGCUGGAACUGGCAAACCGGGACGGACGGUGGAGUUCACAGCUGAAGAGUUCUCAAGUAUCAUGGCUGUAAAUUUUGAAUUUGUCUACCAUCUAUGCCAACUUGCUCAUCCCCUUUUGAAGGCAUCAGGAGCGGGAAGUAUUGUGCUCAUGUCUUCUGUUGCAGGUGUAGUAUCACUCAAGUAUUUAUCUGCCUAUGGUGCAACCAAAGGUACUUCAUUCUACCAUAGGGUUUAUGUUGCAGGUCCUGAGUUGUUGGACAAGAUGAUAGAUAUUUACCUUGAUAAUUUUGCUUCAGGGGCACUGAAUCAGCUUGCGAAGAGCUUGGCAUGCGAGUGGGCGCAAGACAAUAUCAGGGCUAACUCUAUUGCUCCUUGGUUCAUCAAAACUUCUCUGGUAGAACCUGUGAGUACCCUUCACCUCAUUUGAAGUUGCUGUUGUUUUCAUUGGGAAAACUGAUUAAUAAACUAAUCUUCUGUUUUGUUUUCUUUUAUUUUUUUGGUUGUAUCAUUUUGGUUUCAGUUUCUUAGUAAGAAAAGCUUUACGGAAGAGGUAAUAAGAAGAACUCCGCUUGGUCGAGUGGGGGAUCCAAAGGAGGUGUCAUCCUUGGUAGCAUUCCUCUGCCUACCAGCAUCAUCUUACAUUACUGGCCAGACCAUUUGUGUUGAUGGUGGGAUGAGUAUUAAUUGUUUCGAUCCAAGUCAAUGCUAGAAACACCUAGCAUUUAUAUUAAUAUAUGUUGUUUUCUCAAAACCGCUUCUGUUUUUGGGAUUAUUUGCUCGUGAUAGUGACCUUGUGGUCCUAGGAUUAAUGCAUGGUUACCAAAUAUUAAGUCUAUGCUUCCAAUAAAUAUUAAAAAAUUUCUUAUUAUUCAAUCACGGAUUUCUACCUUCUUCUCCGGUCAUAGAUACUGUUUAGGUCUCCGGUGCAUUCCCCGCUCACCCACCUACAUCUGAUUGGUUGCAACGUUCAAUCACGGAUUUCUUAUUAUUCAUAUAUCUUUUAGUACAUUUUUUCAAAUUCUUGAUAUUUAUUCGUAUUAUUUGUAUAAUUUAUAUAAGAAAAAAUGAUUUAAAAUAAAAAUAUAUGGUUUAAAAUUGAUAAAAUAUCAUGAAUAACGUUUUACAAUCCAUAAGAUACAAAAAUAAAACAAACUGAUAGAAAAAUAUCGACAUUGGUUAAAAAUAAUUAAGUUAAUCGCGAGUAUAACUAAAUCAUCUCAACUUGAUGAAUGAUAAAUUCAUUUAUAAAAAAAUUUAAAAUAAAAAACCUAUUAAUUAUUGAAAAUUCAAAUAUGAUUUGAUAUAAAUGUUUUGUUAUGAAAUUUACAUUUGUAUGAAAAAAUAGUAAACUUUUCUUAAGGUUCGUAGUCCCCUGGAAACAUUUUUUAGUAUUUUUUUCGAGAGGUACAAAUUUCUUGCUUACUUUAAUAUAUUUAAGACACAAAAUUUGACAUAUAUAUUUGAUCCAUCAAUCAAAACUCCCAUCCCACACACAUUUUGUAAAGUUAGAGCCAUUAGUUUUUAUAUUCAAUUUUUACCUCUUUUUUUGCAUAUUUUAAUAAGAAUAAAUUAGAUGUUGUAAUUUCUUAUUUUAAAUAAGAGUAUGAUACCACAUUAAACGAUAAAAUAAAAAUUGUAUAUAUGUGAAAUAUAUGUCAUUAUUCAUCUUGAUAUGUAUUAUACUGUUUACCUCUUCAACAAGUUUUGUAAAAUUUUUUGUUUUGUAGUAAGUAAAGUGUGGAGAGUUACCCUCAAAGACAUGGGAUUUAAAAGAAAUAAGAAAAAGAGAAAAAUGUCAAAUAUUUCUUAUUAUAAUCACUUGAAAAAUAAGUCCAAUACACGUGGAGUUGAAAUAGGUUUACAAUCAAAGGAAGUAAAAGAAAAAAAGAUAAACUAAUCUUUCCUUGCUCCAAAAAAGAAAGAUAAUAAUGUUGAUGUGGUAAAUAAAUUAAUAAUUUUAACAUCUCCCCACAAACUCAUAAAACUCAUAAUGCGGUUGUAAGAAGUAGUGAGAGCUUAAAUAAAUUAACUUACAAUAAAAUGAAGUAAAAGAAAAAAAUUAAUUUACCCUUACUCGAUAAAUCUUUAGUAUAUUAUUAUUAUUAUUAUUAUUAUUAUUAUUAUUAUAUCUCAAAGUCAAGAUUAUGAACAUGAAAAUUAAACAUAUCGCGCUUCAAUCUUGACAAGACUAAUAUAAAGUGAGGUUUUCCCCUUCUUAUUAUUAAUAUUAUUAUUAUCACUACUACGAUAUCUUUGUUUACACUAAAAUCUUUUCUUUAAUGCCCUCAAAGUCAAGAUUACGAACAUAAAAAGCAUGUCACACUUCAAUGUUCACAAGACUAAUACAAAAUGAGGUUUCCUCCUAAAUUUAUUAUUACCAUUACAUAUCUUUGUUUACACUAAAAUCCUAUCUUUAAUACCCUAAAAGUCAACAUUAGGAACAUGAGAAACAUUUCACUAUUUAAUGUUGACAUGACUAAUACAAAGUGAGGUUUCCCUAAAUUUAUUAUUAUUAUUACAUAUCUUUGUUUUCACUAAAAUCUUAUCUUUAAUACCCUAAAAGUCAAUAUUAGGAACAUGAGAAACAUUUCACAAUUUAAUGUUGACAAGACUAAUACAAAGUGAGGUUUUCCCCUAAAUUUAUUAUUAUUAUUACAUAUCUUUGUUUCCAUUAAAAUCUUAUAUUUAAUACCCUAAAAGUCAAUAUUAGGAACAUGAAAAGUAUAUCACACUUCAAUGUUGACAAGACAUUAUACAAAGUGAAGUAUUAUUUCCAUAAUAUCUUUGCUUACACUAAAAUCUCAUCUUUAAUAUCCUUGAAGUUAAGAUUAUGAGCAUGAAAAAUAUGGCAUACUUCAAUGUUGACAAGAUUAAUACAAAGUGAGGUUUCUUCGUCAAUUUAUUAUUAUUACUACAAUAUCUUCCUACACUAAAAUCUCAUCUUUAAUAGCUCAAAGUUAAUAUUACAAGCAUGAAAGUUCAACAUGCCAUCCUCCAAUCUUAACAAGGCUAAUACAAAUUGUGAUUUCCCUAAUUUUUUUUCCAUUGUCUUUCUUUUUCUUGUACCUGUUGUGAUCGAUUUAGGUCACAAGCCAAAUAAUUGCAAGAAAAUGAACUCACACGUGAAAAUUGAGAAGGAUGAAAUAUUCUCUAACAUUGCACACUCUUAGAAGAAAAAUCAUUUGGUUGACAAUUUUAUUUGAGACUAACAAAUUGACGGAAGGACAUGAUGUGAGGCCAGCUUGUAUAUGCUUUUAUUCAAAUCUAGCCACAUGAUGAAUCCUACAAACUCCUUUCCCAUUUUUUUAUUGCAAUGUUUUAAAUGAUGCCACGUACCUAAAUUCUUGAAAUUUUGAGUCAGUUAAAGACAUGUCUGGAUGGCAUGGAGGAGAGUUAGGGGGCUAUUCGGCUUGUACCCCUUCAAAUUCAGCCUGCUCCAUUAAUUUGAUAGCUAUCGUGAGGUUGCCUAUGAUGCUAAGAUAACCAAAUGUGAUGAGGAUUUCAAAAAGUAUUCGAGUGUACUUCAGUACCAAAUCUGUGAAAUGAUUAUUGAAUGCUACCUAAUUUUGUUUGAAAUUUUCAUUUGAAAUUAAAUAAAUAAAUAUGUGAGGCCUAAAUCUUUUUCCAUCAUAUUGUACUCAUGUUCAAAGUCUGCCACUUCCAUUCAUUUGACAGCUAUAAUGAGGUUGUCUAUGAUGCUAAAAAUGACCAAACGUGAUGAUGAUUUCAAGAAGUAUUCCAGUAUAUUUUAAUUGGCAAUGUUUUAAAGAUAGGUAUCAUUCAUCCUAAAAAUUCAUCCAUUCAUGUUCAUUGCAUGGUCGAAAUGUUAUUAAACAACUAACAUUAUAAAUAUAUAAUUUAUAUUUUAUUAAAAUUAAAAAUAAUUUUUAAAAACUAAUAUGUAUAUAUAUAUAAUUAAAAACCAAUUAUAUUUAUUUUUUAAUCUUUUAUAUAAAUGUACUAAUAAUUAAAAUUUUAUUAAAUAAAAUAUGUAAAAUUUGAAAAUUGAAUAAAAUUUGCAUUAUAUAUAUAUAAAAGUUUAAAAGAUACUAGAUUAUUUUAUUCAUAUUGAAUUUCUGAAAUAAUAUACAUAUUUUUUUCUUUAGUUUCACAAACAUUAACAUUUGGAUAAGUAGCUGAGUAGUUGUUCCUGAAAAUGCUCAAGCACAUAUUAGCAAGAAUGAAGAAUUUGUUUCUAUUCUUUCAUAUUUUACAGUAGACCAAUGGCUAUAUAUAUAUAUUACAAUGUAACUAAUCUAACCAUCUAUUGAACUACCUAACCAUCUUCUAACUAAUCAUAACAACAUCUGUUAGAGAGGAGAAGAAUCAGCUGCUGGUGCGGGUGCUUGUCUAUCAUCCCCCCGCAAGCUGACAGGUCUUGGGACAAUAGAGAAAUGAGUACGAGCGGCUGAGAACUAACAGCUUGGAACAUAUUUAGUAAAGACAUCUGCCAACUGGUCGGUAGAAGGAACAUAUUGAAUUAAAAGCUCUUUGCGAAUGACCUUAUCACGGACAAAGUGAAGAUCAAUCUCUAUGUGCUUGGAACGGGCAUGGAAGACAGAGUUAGCUGCAAGAGGAGCAGCACUGAUAUUGUCACACCAGAUCAAAGGAGUGUUCGGUUGAGGAAUGCACAACUCUUUGAUCAGAAACUGAACCCAGGAGACCUCAACAGCGAGAAAAGCAAGUGCCCGGUACUCCGAUUUUGCACUACUACGAGAGACGACACGUUGCUUGGUAGAGGACCAUGAGAUGAGAUUGGUGCAAAAAAAAAAGACAAAAGCCACUAGUGCUUCUUCUAUCAUCGAGACAUGAAGCCCAAUCCGCAUCGGUAUAGCCUUGAAGAGACCAAGAUGGUGAGGCAUGGAUAGAAAGACCAUGAGUAGCAGUACCUUUGAGAUAGCGAAGUAUGUGUUUAGCAGCUUGCAGAUGAGAAGUGAUAGGAUGAGCCAUGUAUUUACAAGCUUGAUUUACUGCAAAUGAGAUUUUUGGUCUUGUGAGAGUGAUGUACUGAAGAGCACCCACAAGACUGUGAUAGUGAGUAGCAUCAAGAGCAGAUAAAGGUUCUCCAUCUGCUGCUGAUAACAAUUUUCCCAAAGCACCAAGUGUGCUAGCAGAUUUGGCCCCAAGAAGAUCAGCACGCUCAAGUAGCUGAUGUAUGUAGCGUUGUUGAUUGAGAUGAAGAACAUGAGGAAGCCGGGUGACUUCAAUGCCAAGGAAGUAGCUAAUAUCUCCAAGGUCUUGAAGAGCAAAAUGGGAGCUAAGCUGAGAAAUGAUAUGAUGGACCUGUGGUGGAUUGUUGCCAGUAAUGAGAAUAUCAUCCACAUAGAUUGAGAUGAUGAUAAUAUCAGAUGCAGAGUGGAAAUAAAAUAAAGAUGCAUCAGCCCUUGAGCAUUGGAAUCCCAAUUGUAAGAGAAAGGAGCUGAGCUUGUGGAACCAGGCUCGAGGCGCUUGUUUAAGGCCAUAGAGAGCCUUCUGUAGACGACAAACAUGAGUGGGGCAAGAGCUAUCUUCAAAGCCUAGAGGUUGCAUCAUGAACACCUGUUCUUAAAGAUCUCCAUUUAAAAAAGCAUUGUGGACAUCUAGUUGUUUAAUAGGCCAGUUGGAAGAGACAACAAUGGAGAGAACAAGCCUGAUAGUGCAAGGCUUCACAACUGGACUAAAUGUCUCAAAAAAAUCAAUGCCAUAGGUUUGAUGAAAACCUUGGGCAACCAGCUGAGCUUUGUACCUGUCAAUGCUGCCAUCAGGUUUAUGUUUGAGUUUGAAGACCCAUUUACACCCAAUAAUUUUGGCAUUAGAUGGAGGUGGCACCAAAGACCAAGUUUGAUUCUUCAAUAGAGCUUGAUAUUCUUGUUCCAUAGCAAGCUUCCAAUUAGGGUCUUGAAAAACCUGUUUGACAGUACGUGGCUCAGCUAUGAGUGAGGUAAGAUAGGUCUUCUUCUUAUAGAUACCAAAUUUGGAUCUGGUAAUCAUAGGAUGACUAGGAAUUGGAGCUAUGGAAUCCUGGAGGGAAGCAGUAGAAAUCUCAGCUGCUUCAUCCACAAAUGGCACCUGAAUGAGCGGGGGUAAAGACAAAAAGCUGGCUAGAGGUGAUGUGGGGGCAAGUUCGGAUGGGAUAGCCGGAGAAGAGCUGGUUGUGGAGGGGAAAAGAACAGAAGAUGGAGGAAAAAGAAAUGCUGGAGUGACAGGAAAAUGAGAUGAUUGGUGGGAAGGAGAAGUCAAUGCUUGAAAUGGAAAUGUAGUCUCUACAAAGACUACAUGCCUAGAGAUAUAUACUCUGCCAGUUGUAAGAUUAAGGCAAAAAUAACCCUUGUGAAAUGUUGCAUAACCAAGAAAGAUACAGGGUAUGGACUAUGGCUGAAAUUUGUUGGAGUUGAGAUGUCUGAGGUGUGGAUAACAAAGACAACCAAAGACUUUGAAAUGGAAAUAAUCAGGUGGGUGUUUGUAAAGAAGAGAAAAUGGGGAGCUGUAAUUGAGCAAAGGAGAAGGCAUGCAAUUGAUAAGGGUAAUUGUUGUAGUGAAAGCAUAGGACCAAAAUUUGGAUGGCAGGGCAGUUGUGUAAAGAAGAGUGAGCCCGAUUUCUACAACAUGGCGCAUUUUGCGUUCAACCCGACCAUUUUGUUCAGGUGUAUAAGGGCAAGAAAAUCUAUGGAGUAUACCAUGAAGAGAUAGAAACCGGAGGGUAGUGAACUUUCCACCAUGGUCUGUUUGAAGGCAUUUAAUGGUGGUCUGAAAUUGGUUUUCAACAAGAGUUUUAAAUUGAACAAAAGUGGAGUAAACCUGGUCCUUGGUGAGGAGUAAAUAUAUCCAUACAAACCUAGAGUAAUCAUCCAUGAGCAACAAAAAAUACCAGGCACCUGCGGAGGAAGGAACAGGUGUUGGUCCCCACAAGUUUGCAUGGAUGAGUUCAAGAGGAGAGGAGGCCCGGGAAGUGGACAAAGAAAAAGGAAUUUUGUGACUUUUGGCAUAACAACAAGCAUUGCAAACAUCAAUUGUUUUAUUUGAGUUAUAUGAAAUAUUACAUGUAUGAAAAAUUUUCUGAAGUAUUAUAGCAGAAGGGUGGCCAACUCGUUGAUGCCACAACAUAGUAGUGGGCUGAGUUUUUGUGAGAAACACUUGAUGUUUAGAAUUGGCAGUAGGUGAGUUGAUAGAUGAGGUAGGAAAUUUGUAGAGUCCACGUUCAAGUUGGCCUUGGAGAAGAGUCACUUUGGUAUCCUUGUCCUUGACAAAAAAUGAAAAAGGAUGAAAUUCAAGAAUGGUAUUAUUAUCAGUACAGAAUUUUGACACACUGAUGAGAUUUGAAGUGAGUUGUGGAACAUGAAGCACAUUGUGUAAAACAAAGGGUUUAGCAGAAAUGUGGAGAAAGGAAUGACCAACUUGGGUUAUGGGUAGGGACUUACCAUUGCCAACCAUCACAGAGUCAGUACCAUUGUAUGAAGUACCAUUGUGGAUAUUAGCAACUGUGUGGGAGAGAUGGUGGGUGGCGCUUGAAUCCAAAAACCAGGAGUCCGUUGAUGCUGGGGAAGGUGCUGCCAUCAUGGCUUGAGCAGGAGGAGUGGGACCAGUUUGAGAGGUUGAUGAGGCUGGUGCAUGUGGCCCUUGAUAAUUCACAUCAAAUCUGUGAUAACAAGAGAGGACCAUGUGCCCAAACUUGCCACAUAACUGACACUGUGGUUGGUUAUUUGUCCGGGAUCGAUUAUUGUUGAAUCGGUUAGGGCGAUAUCCUUGAGGAUGUUGCUGUCGUGAAUUUGGAAGAGUGUCAGGUCGUGGGGUUGGCAUGAAUGACUGAGGUGGUUUCCCUUGAGAGGGUUUGAUGGACUGUGACCUUCGUGGUCUGUUAUGAGUUGCAAUAUUGGCAAUGAGGAGGUCUUCUUCAGCAGUUGUGGUUUGAAGAUGCAGCCUCUAUUCAUGAGUCAGAAGGAUGCUAUGUACCGCAUGAAGUUGAAGGUCAUCAUCUCUAGCUGUGAGAGAAGCCAUGAUGGGGUUGUAUUCAACCCCUAGUCCACUUAGUAAUUGAAGAAUUUGAUCCUUUUCUGGCACUGGUUCUCCAAUAGCUGCUAGACUAUCAGAGAUGUGUUUGAGUUUUUGGAUGUAUUCCAUCAUGGUAAGAGGGCCUUUUUUGGUUGUUUGAAAAGCAAGUCUCAGCUGCAUUGUUCUUGCUUUGGUGGAAGCAGAGAAGCUUCAUUGGAGGGUUGUCCAUGCUUCAUGGGAUGUUCGUAGCCCAACAAUUUGGCCCAUAACAUCUGGAGUGAGAGAGGAGUAGAUCCAACUCAGGAUCAUACGAUCAUAUCUCCUCCAAACCAGAAAAUCUGGGUUCACUUCUCCGGUGGAUAUUAUUUUUGGAGGACAUGGUCUCAGACCUUCAAUAUAGUCCUCAAAUCCAUUGGCAUAUAUCACAUUUUCCAUUUGUGUAUGCCAAAGGAUAUAGUUAUCUCUAUCUAGUUUGAUAGGAAGAGGAUGGUUCAGCAUGCUCAUGUUCAGGGUAGAGGUUACCUGAGAAGAGACAAUCUCCGGCGUGGUUUGUGUUGAUGAAGCCAUCGGAAACUAGGUACAGUAUGUUCUUGAAGCUUUCUUGAGGUGAGUAAGAAAAGCAAAAGGUAAUCUGCAGAUGAUGUAUAUCAGAAGAAAGUUGCAGUAGAAAGAGUUGUUGGAGAUUUCUUUAUUGUCUUGCUGGGGAGAGAAAUCAAAAAACGAAAAUUCAUGAGCCUAUGGCUCUGAUACCAUGAAAAUGCUCAAGCACAGAUUAGCAAGAAUGAAGAAUCUGUUUCUAUUCUUUCUUAUUUUACAGUAGACCAAUGGCUAUAUAUAAAUAUUACAGUGUAACUAAUCUAACCAUCUAAUCAUCUAUUGAACCACCUAACCAUCUUCUAACUAAUCAUAACAGCAUCUGUUAGAGAGGAGAAGAAUCAGUUGCUGGUGCGGGUGCUUGUCUAUCAGUUCCAAGUUACCUUAAACCUUGAAAGGAUCAAGUCCUUUUGAUUUUGUUUAAAUAAGCUACUAAGCUACUGCUCACUCCACAUUGGAAAUUCAAGGGGAUGAAAAAAGGUUUAUAAAUCUCAUUCAUCUCCAACAGGUCACAUGGCCUUUAGGCCGUGGGAGGCAAUGCGGUGAGUGGGUCGUGUGCUCUAAAUGGAGGCCUAUUUUUGCAACAAAAGAAAGACCGAAACCAAACCAAGCAUGAACCAAAUCGGAUCAAGAUCCAGUCGACGGUCUGACUAGUUCAGUAGGAAUUUUUCAUAAUAUGGUUUAAUGGCAUGUAGAUAUUCUUUAGUCAAAGUUUUAAUAAGCCCAUCAAAAGUUGUAAUAUUUUAUGUUAUAAGUUAAUAGAGAAUAUUUUUUACUUUAAAUUUUUGUUGGUAUUUUCCCAUAAUCUAUAGUUAUUAAGGCAUUGAUAUUUUCUCAAAUUAUAGAAUUAAGUUCUAAAACAACAUUUAUUUUGACAUAGAUGAACAUUUGAAAGAUUAUAAUUUAUCUUUAACUUAUUUUUCUUUAUAACCAAAAUCUUUUCUCUCGAUUUUUCAUAAUAUUUGAUUAUGAUUAAUUAUUCAUGCAUACAAUCUAGGUCUGAAUCUAUUAUCUUCAACACUUAUUUUUAUUUUUUUAUGUCAUGUUUGAAAAUUUACUUUAGAUAGUAAGUCAAUAAAUGUUUCUAAAGGUAAAUGAGUGUUUGGUAUUAUGAUUCUUAGAUCUUGACUAGUAAGGGAUUCUUUAUAAUUUGUUCAUUUUAUUACUUGAGCUAAUUUAAUUCUCUAUUUAUUAAUUUCUUAUAUUUCAUCAUGUAAAUUUUGAAUAGUUAUAAGUUUGUGAAUAGUUUUGAAUCUAUUAAAUAUUUCAUCUAUAAUAUUGAUUAGAUUUGGGUUCUUGAAGUCUACUUAUCUCUUUAAUUUGUAAGAAUUAAAUCUUUUAAAUAUAACAAAUAUUGAAUUUUUAUGUUGAAUCCUCUAUUUUAUGACAUCAAAAAAUAUUUAUUUAUUUACUUUUGAAUAAAUCAUAUUUAUUAUUUUAUAUGAACAAACAUACUCACUUUCACAUUCAUUUUCAUCAUUAGAGUCUUCUAGACUAAUUAUAUUGGUUUAAUGUGUCUAGUAUUUGUGAUAAAUUUCAUAAAAAUAUUCAAGUGUAAAUAUUAAACUACAUAGUAUACUGUCACAUAUGACACAUUUCAAAUAGUAAAGACUAAAACCAUAAUUAAAGAUAACUUAGGUUUUAUUUUUUUUGUCAAAAAUAUUAUAAUUUUAAUUAAUUGAAUUAUUAAUUUUUCAAAAAUUUAGAAAAAAUAAAAAAUAGUAUUUUAAAAUUUGGCUCUCUUGAAAAUCAUGAGAGGAUAAAAAUUGGUAAAAAAAUAAAUAAAUUUAGAAAAGGUUAUUGAGAUUAAUUAAGUACAUCCUUGCCAUGAUAUUUAAUAUUUUUUUUAUGUUUUAUAAAUAGGGUAAAUGGACAUCGUUCUAAAUACAGGAAGAUGAUAUUAUUAUAUAUAAAAAAAAUGUAAAAAUAGUGAGUAAUAUUAUUAAAAAUAUCUCAUGGAAUGGGGCAAGAUAAAGGGCCAAAAAAAAAAAAAUUAGAGAAGAAAGAAGAAAAAGAAGAGUGUUGUAAGCACAGGAAGUCAAAAGUACUGUAUAAGCGUGAUUCAUCCCUGUUUCCUACUUCGAUUAUAAAGUAUGGACAGAGAUACAGAAAAAAAAAAAGAGAAGAAGCAGCAUUCAGCUUUCACCAGUGCAGAGUGGUAUGGUGGUGUAGCAUAUGUUUGGUUGUUAUUCUUGCUCCAAACAAGUGUGAGCUGAUCCAUUUCUAUACUCAUUUUUGUUAUCUCAGUCGACUGAUUCGUUUAGUGGGCCUGGUGUUAGCCAAAAGCUAGCCACCAAUUUUCUUUGCUUUAUCCCAUUACAUUAGAAUAAAAAGAAAAUGGAGGUUUGAGAGGGCCAUUGGGACCAUUGGGACCAUUAUCAGUUGUCUUUUGUUUUCAAGUUGUAAGAAGUCCUGUCAAGGUUUAUGUCAUUUGCUAUGUUGUUUCUGUUCCAUUUUCAGUUCAAAGAGUGGUAGAGUAGAGAAGGAGGCAUGGCUCAGACAUUUGGGUGCAGCUCUGGAGAUAGUAGAUGGUCUCUCAAGGGAAUGACUGCUCUUGUAACUGGUGGAACUAAAGGAAUUGGGUUGGUGUUACCUGUUUUUAUGUCUUUGGGUUUGGACUAUACCUUCCUAUAUAUAAACGUAUGUAUCAAUUCUGCAGGCAUGCAAUUGUGGAGGAACUGGCUGGAUUAGGAGCAACCAUACACACGUGUUCUCGAAAAGAAACUGAGCUCAAUGAAUGCUUGAAGGAUUGGAAAGCUAAAGGUUUUGGAGUGAGUGGUUCAGUGUGUGAUGUAUCCUCUCGGGCACAAAGGGAGAAGCUAAUGGAGACUGUCUCUUCUGUGUUCAAAGGGAAGCUGAAUAUCCUUGUAAGUUCCUCUAGUCUCUAAGGUUCCUAUCCAUGAUAUUCCACAUACUUUGUCGAACUUCCUACAAUUUGAGUUCCCCUACUUGAUAUAUAUAUUUUGGUUCCGGAUUCAGGUCAACAACGCUGCUAUUGUUAUUCAGAAACCAACAGUAGAGGUCACGGCAGAAGAGUUCUCAACAAUCAUGGCCAUAAAUUUUGAAUCUGUGUAUCAUCUGUCCCAACUCGCACACCCCCUUUUAAAGGCAUCAGGAGCGGGAAGCAUUGUAUUCAUCUCCUCUGUUGCCGGCGUAGUGUCAGUCAAGUAUCUGUCUGCUUAUGCAGUAACCAAAGGUAUUUCAUUACAUGAUCCACAGUAUAUAUAUAUAUCGCAAGUUCUUGGGUUGUGGCCCUUGUGGCCUUCUCGGCGUGUCAUUAUCAUUAUCAUUUUGUGAUUUUUCAGGAGCAAUGAAUCAACUUACAAAGAAUUUGGCAUGCGAGUGGGCGGAAGACAAUAUUAGAAGUAAUGCAGUUGCUCCUUGGUGCAUCAAAACUCCGAUGGUGGAUCAGGUAAUUCAGUUGCUCUUCUUUUUUGUCUGGGAAAAUUCAAUAAUCAAUUCCUCUCUCUUUUCUGUCUUUUGCAUAAUCUGGGUUGCAGAUGCUCAGUAACAAAACCUUUCUGGAAGGGGUGAUAAAUCGAGCUCCACUUCGCCGUGUGGGAGAUCCGAAGGAGGUGUCAUCUUUGGUGGCAUUCCUCUGUCUACCAGCAUCAUCUUACAUUACUGGACAGACUAUUUGUGUUGAUGGUGGCGUGACUGUUAAUGGUUUUGAGCCAAACCUGUUCUAGGAACAUCAUUAAGACUCUAAAAAAUCUUAGCUUCUUCUACCGCUUUCCUGUUUGGAUCCUGUCUUUUUCCUGAAUAAUAUGUUUGUGGUGGUAAGUACUCUUCUGUUUUUUCGGUGUGGGGUUCAUUUGAAAACAUUGUUGCAUGAU
rnacentral:lncRNA from 1 species